UACGUAGGGGGCAAGCGUUGUCCGGAUUUAUUGGGCGUAAAGAGCGUGUAGGCGGCCAGGUAGGUCCGUUGUGAAAACUCGAGGCUCAACCUCGAGACGCCGGUGGAAACCGUAAAGCUAGAGUCCGGAAGAGGAGAGUGGAAUUCCUGGUGUAGCGGUGAAAUGCGCAGAUAUCAGGAGGAACACCCGUGGCGAAAGCGGCUCUCUGGGACGGUACUGACGCUGAGACGCGAAAGCGUGGGGAGCAAACAGG
rnacentral:rRNA from 1 species